CAAAGGUUUGGUCCCUGCCUUACAGUCAAUUGUAGCUAAAUUUACACAUGCAAGUAUCCGCACCCCAGUGAAAAUGCCCUUGCAUUCUCCACACAGAGAACAAGGAGCUGGUAUCAGGCACCACUUAUGCCCAUGACACCUUGCUCUGCCACACCCCCAAGGGAACUCAGCAGUGAUAAACUUUGAAUAUAAGCGAAAGCUUGAAUUAGUUAUAGCUCACAGAGUCGGUCAAUCUCGUGCCAGCCGCCGCGGUUAUACGAAAGACUCAAACUGACAGAAAUCGGCGUAAAGAGUGAUUAAGGAAAACGCCACCCAGAGCCAAACAGCUACUAAGCCGUCGCACGCAUUAGUAAGCUAGAAGAACUUUACUAAAGUAGCCCUGCCACCCCUGAAUUCACGACAGCUAGGAAACAAACUGGGAUUAGAUACCCCACUAUGCCUAGCCUCAAACUAUGACUCAAUACAAAAUAUCAUCCGCCCGGGAACUACGAGCCCCAGCUUAAAACCCAAAGGACUUGGCGGUGCCCCACCCACCUAGAGGAGCCUGUUCUAUAAUCGAUAACCCCCGCUUAACCUCACCACUUCUUGCCAAUACCGCCUAUAUACCACCGUCGCCAGCCCACCCCGUGAGGGAAUAGUAGGCACAAUGAUAAGUCACCAAAACGUCAGGUCAAGGUGUAGCGUAUGAAGUGGGAAGAAAUGGGCUACAUUCUCUAACCUAGAGUACACGAAAAAUCUUAUGAAAUUAGAUUGGAAGGAGGAUUUAGUAGUAAAAAGAAACGAUAGUGUUCUUUUUAAACUGGCCCUGGGGCGCGCACACACCGCCCGUCACCCUCUUCAACUAAAACUAAUAGAUCCCCUAAAACAUAAAACAAGUACAAGAAGAGGUAAGUCGUAACAUGGUAAGUAUACCGGAAGGUGUGCUUGGAAUCAC
rnacentral:ncRNA from 1 species